CUACGGGUGGCAGCAGUGGGGAAUAUUGGACAAUGGGCGAAAGCCUGAUCCAGCCAUGCCGCGUGUGUGAAGAAGGCCUUCGGGUUGUAAAGCACUUUCAGUGGGGAAGAAAGCCUUGGGGCUAAUACCCUCGAGGAAGGACAUCACCCACAGAAGAAGCACCGGCUAACUCCGUGCCAGCAGCCGCGGUAAUACGGAGGGUGCGAGCGUUAAUCGGAAUUACUGGGCGUAAAGCGCGCGUAGGCGGUCUGAUAAGCCGGUUGUGAAAGCCCCGGGCUCAACCUGGGAACGGCAUCCGGAACUGUCAGGCUAGAGUGCAGGAGAGGAAGGUAGAAUUCCCGGUGUAGCGGUGAAAUGCGUAGAGAUCGGGAGGAAUACCAGUGGCGAAGGCGGCCUUCUGGACUGACACUGACGCUGAGGUGCGAAAGCGUGGGUAGCAAACAGGAUUAGAUACCCAGUAGUC
rnacentral:rRNA from 1 species